GCUUUUAACUGCAACAAG
rnacentral:sRNA from 1 species